UACGUAGGGUGCAAGCGUUGUCCGGAAUUAUUGGGCGUAAAGGGCUCGUAGGCGGUCCAUCACGUCGGGAGUGAAAAGCUGGGGCUUAACCCCAGUCCUGCUUCCGAUACGGGUGGACUAGAGGUAGGCAGGGGAGAACGGAAUUCCUGGUGUAGCGGUGAAAUGCGCAGAUAUCAGGAGGAACACCGGUGGCGAAGGCGGUUCUCUGGGCCGAUAUUGACGCUGAGGAGCGAAAGCGUGGGGAGCAAACAGG
rnacentral:rRNA from 1 species